CUGUCUGUAUGCUUGGGGUGGAGAAGGUGACCUAGUACAACUUCGACAUUUUGUUUAUAUUUUAUAUCAUAUUUUCAUAGCAUUUCUUUUUUAAAACUGUGGGAGUUUAAUGAAAUGGAGUAUUUACGAUACUGCGUGAACGGAUUGCAAAUGAUUUACUCUGGAUGGCCGUUUGGUGGGUGAAAAAUUAGGGUCGGUAAGAAAAGUAUGUUUUGUAGUACAUGCAAAGAAUUAUUGGGACAGACAGUGUAUUGAUGAACGAUAAUGUAUGAAAUUUCGAUUUGAGAUUUUGGCCUUGGGGUUUUCAAAAGACAUGUUCAAUGGAGGUGCUAGGAUGCUUAUUUUAAGCAAGUGUGUUUUUUCUUCUUAUUGAUAACUGAGCUAGAGGACCCUUUGGUGAUGACCAUCGACAGGAGGAGAUGUUGUGGACAGUGAUGUGCUUCUCGGUUGUCAUCUACAAUAAAAUAACAACUUCUUGAAAGCCAACGUGAACCAAACGGUUGACAUCGCGCUCUGUUAUCGUGCAGUUGAAGGCUAUUCUAGUCUGUUUCCUACCAUCAAUGUUACCGCUACUAAAAACUGCUCCACAUCAAGUGAUGACAAACAACUUUCUCAAUUAGUAUCAAAUGGUCGCUGGCAUUGAAGAGAAACAAAAUUUAUCGGAGGAACUACUCCGGGAAACUAAAGUCAGUCAUCCAAGUGAACGACGUGACCAGCGCUCAAUGCGAUGUUUCAAUAUUGGGCAAGAUGGUCAUAUUUCACCUUAUUGUUGCCAAAAACGUCAGCUUCUGGACAACCGGCACUCACGGCUCCCAGUGCGAUAGUUCUAAUGUGAAAGAGUCUUGUUUAACAAUUAAUGAUAUACAAUUGCAAAGAGGGCGUAUUCAAUUCCAAACCAAAGUGUGAUAUCAUUGGCAACGAGGGAUGAUGACGUCAUUGGAUAGUUUUAGGACGAAGUUUACUAUUCUGCUGUCCUUUCACUCACGGAAGAUCGACAUUGUGUGAACAGUAUCUGUAGAUGAUUGGGUAGUUAUCAUUUUAAGAAGGACGAAGUUUGUUAUUAUAGCAUCUAAUUACUCUGAAAUAAAGAAGUCAAAAAUUGUUGUUC